CAGGGUGUAGCUCAGUCCGGUAGAGUCCCGCACUUGGAAUGCGGUUGUCGCAGGUUCAAAUCCUGUCACCCUGACCA
rnacentral:tRNA from 1 species